AAAGUGGCUUUGUGCUUAAAAUUAUGUUACCCAACUCUAGGGGCGAAUGGAUGCCAAAUUACAAAGAAUGGUGGUAAACUUGUAUGUCCUGUAAAUACCGAUGCAGUCAAGAAAUACUUUGUUAAAAUGAAAAAGCUCGAUAAGUCGCAAACCUGAAAAAGCGGCUUAGGCAAAAAAGAGCGUCUCGAUGGACUGAAAACCCGAAAGGGCGGUCCAUGCAAAAGUUAG
rnacentral:lncRNA from 1 species